AAAAGUUUUGGAGGAGAGAUCUCGAACCGGAACAAAAAGUUUACAUUAGUAUUGAAAUUAGAACUAAUUUGCGGUUCGGUUUACACUGGGCUAAAGAGGAAAAAAAAAAAUUCACGCGAUGGUGAUUUUGAAGACAACUGCGUUGAUAAAAAAAGGCAUGAUUUCAAAAGGUGAACCCCUACAGAAUUGCUCUCACGCUCUCAACGCG